rnacentral:rRNA from 1 species
UACGGGGGGAGCAAGCGUUGUUCGGAUUUACUGGCGUAAAGCGCACGUAGGCGGAUCGUUAAGUCGGGGGUGAAAUCCUGGAGCUCAACUCCAGAACUGCCUUCGAUACUGGCGAUCUUGAGUCCGGAAGAGGUGAGUGGAACUCCUAGUGUAGCGGUGAAAUGCGUAGAUAUUGGGAGGAACACCAGUGGCGAAGGCGGCUCACUGGACCGGAACUGACGCUGAGGCGCGAAAGCCAGGGGAGCAAACGGG